UACGUAGGCAGCAAGCGUUGUUCGGAGUUACUGGGCGUAAAGGGUGUGUAGGCGGUUUUCUAAGUUUGGUGUGAAAUCUCCCGGCUUAACCGGGAGGGUGCGCCGAAAACUGGGAGACUAGAGUGCGGGAUGGGAGAGUAGAAUUCCUGGUGUAGCGGUGAAAUGCGUAGAUAUCAGGAGGAAUACCGGUGGUGCAGACGGCUCUCUGGACCGCAACUGACGCUGAGACACGAAAGCGUGGGUAGCAAACAGG
rnacentral:rRNA from 1 species